UUCUCUCUCGCGAGGGAGUGUCUGGUUCUCGAACAACAUUGUCCUUGUCCGCCAAUUAGGUCAUAUUACUGGGAAUCUAUUUACACGGAGAGGAAUUAUGGAAAGAUACAACUUUGAGGUUUGGACGUCACUCUACAGAUGAACCCUCUAUCCUGACACCUCUGGAGCAGUGCUGCAGGAUCCGUCACUCUACCCUCCUGUGUCUGUCUGCGUCUCCUCUCCCUGCCCCAGUACAGUCUGAUGUCAUGAGGGACUUUUUCAUGAUCCUCUAUUCCCGUGGCCCCUCUCCACCCUGGACCAUCGCCUAGCAACCGUGCUCAGAACCUUUGAGCCGUUGCCAGGAUCAACAGUGUAGCCUCCAUGGACGAGGCGAGGAUUAUGUCACUCAUUAUAAGACCUUGGUUACACCUGUGACACAUGCAGGGUAGUCUCUUAGAAAACAGGAUUCCAAAUGGGUUCUUCAGCUGUCCCCAUAGGAGAACUCUUUUGGGUUCCAGUUGUGUUAAGGUAGGGAUGGUAUACAGAACAUAGCUCUAUUUGCAAGUCCAUAUUAUGGCAAGAACAGCUCAAAUAAGCAAAGAGAAAUGACAGUCCAUCAUUACUUUAAGACAUGAAGGUCAGUCAAAAUGUCAAGAACUAUUAAAGUUUCUGCAGGUGCAGUCGCAAAAACUAUCAAGCACUAUGAUGAAACUGGCUCACAUCAGGACCCCCACAGGAAAGGAAGACCCAGAGUUACCUUUGCUGCAGAGGAUAAGUUCAUUAGAGUUAACUGCACCUCAGAUUGCCGCCCAAAUACAUGCUUUGGAGAGUUCAAUUUACAGACAAAUCUUAACGUAAACAGUUCAGAGGAGACUGCGUGAAUCAGGCCUUCAUGGUCGAAUUGCUACAAAGAAACCACUACCAAAGGACACCAAUAAGAAGAGGAGACUUGCUUG